rnacentral:lncRNA from 1 species
UUCUAUAAAGGGUUAGACGAGGAGAAGAUGGGGCUUGAAAAAUUGGGGAAAUUGCUGGACCAAAAUCGAUACGGAUUGAAGCGCAAUGCUGGGUCGGAUAGUCUACUGACAGCUUCUUCACAUUUAGAAUGAUACAAAGCUUUGAUUUGGAUUCCAAGAUAUCAAGAUUUAUCAUCACAUUUGGUUCAAAUCCCUUAUGGCGUCGCCCCGCGUUUGCUCCAAUUUCUUACGCCAUCCCAUUUGCUCCAAUUUCUUCUUACAUUACGUAUCACUCAUUUAUUAGUGUAAUUUGUAAGAAUCUUUUUUUUUUUUUAGUGUAAUUCAUUCUGUUUAAUGGAAUAGAUUAAAAAACAAGCAGCCUCUGCACAAUUAGCAGAUUUUGUUUAUAGUUGAGAUUUGAUUUGAUAACGACCCAUUAAUAUCUAAUUAACAAAAAUUCUGUUGGCUUAUCAUAUGCUUUAAUUUUGGGGUUACUAACUUCCUAGACUACAAUGCUUUGACUUUAUUACAUUAUUUAAGUAUUGAAUCACUAAACAUUAGGGAUCAUUGUAGUUGUUAAUGACAGUUUUGAUGGAAGGAUGUGUGACCUUUUUGUUAUUUAAGUGAAGUCAAAAGAAGAGAAUAUAUGUCAAUGCCAUAAUCCCAAGUAAUUAAUGAUAAUUACUUAAUGCUCUAUUAAUUUCCCUUCAAUCACAAAUAUGAUACAUAAACAUCACAAAACAACAAACCAUAUAUGUAAUUCAACUGCAAACCUGAAACAGAGUAUAGCAUAUAUAAUCUGAUUUACCACUUAGUCAAUCAUAUAAUGUUAGUUUUUCAUGUAUAUAUUAUAUAAGGAGCAUAAAGUUGAUGAGAACUCAAACUCUCUUAGGUUGGGUCUACGUUAAAGUUGUUGGUGCUUCUCAUUCUUGUCUUCUUAAUUUAAUGUUGAGACGAGAUUCUUUAUAAGAUCUAAUUUUUUCAGCUGCUCGGCGUAAUGGCCUUCCAAUUGAAGUUCUUUGCAAAGCUGAAACUUCUUCAGAUCUGGGGGAGGAUGGUGAGUUCUUUUCUUUUUCACCAGCGAUAAGUUUUAUGUCUUCAAUUUCAAACAACUUCUCUUCAAGGUCCCUCACUUGAUGUCUAAAUCUACUAGAGUGCCUUCUUACACAAUGCCUGAAAAUACAUAAAUAUGUAAACCAAAUAGUUGAAACCCUUCCUAGUUUGCUGCUUGAUAAUCAUUUGGUUUUUCAAAAUUCAACUUGUUUUCUCAUCCUUUUCUUUGCGUAUGGUCUUCAUUUUUCUUACAAGAACAUUUGAAUAGUCGAAUUCUUGAAACCAAAACAAGUUCUUAAAGACCAUCCUUUUAGAAAAAAUAAUGGUAUUUAUUUUGUGCAGAGGCAGGAGAGUGCACCCUUAAAUCAAAGUAUUGUGCGUUUGAGCUAAGUUAAAAGCUUGUCGUGUAUUUUAAAAAACAUUUAUAGAACCAAAAGUUAAGGUCCUGUUUAGUGACCAUUUGAGUUUUGAAAAGUAAGCAUAUUUCCUAAUGUUUUGAUCCUUUUUAGUAAAAGAGUUGAGUUCUUAGCCAAAUUCAAAAAACAAACAAGUCUUUAAUACUACUUUUUUUAGUUUUUUAAUUUUUUGAGAAGAUUGAGACAAAUUAUACUAAGCAAGAAGUUAGAGGUGGAAGAUGUAUUUGUAAAACUAAAAACUAAAAACCAAAUGGUUAUCAAACAUGUAAAAAUUGGAAACAAUCAUGCACAAAUAUGGUUAUGUAUAUAAAACGUGUGCAGGACUGACUAACCUCUUGUUCACAACUUUCUGUUUAUCAACCACUGUUGAGUAUGAAGUUGAAGGGCUCAUAGCUGCAUUGGUCAAAGUGCCAUUAGUUUUCAACCAAAACAAUAAGUAAGAUAAGUAGAAGAAUAAACAGAGAAAGGGAAUGAUAGUAUACAUAGUGUCAAUAUCUCAUCAGUUUCAAUAAAUGUGUAAAAUCAGAGUAAUAUGACGGUUCUGAGGGCAAGCCAAAAAGGAGUUAAGAAGUGUUUUAGUGUGUUGUAUGAGAAAGGAUUCAUGGAGAAGCAUUUUAUCAAAAGCAAUUUCAGAAAAGUAAACUUAAGAUCAAAUAAUUUCUUGUGGAAAGUUUUUUACUGAGACCCCAUUGGGUAAUAUUGCAAUCAAAGUACUAUAAUUCCAAAUUCAAACACUAAUCCCCUAAACCUUAAAUUGUUGGAAUCAAAGUUGCUAAUUCUUGGUCCCAAAAUAACAAACCCUUUACACAGUUUCUAUAUAUCGUUUCAUGAAAACUUACAUUUACUUCUAGUUCUUCCAGGAGGCUUUAUAUUUCCAUUGCCAGAUUUGGUGUCAGUAUUAACAAUUGCAAGUGAAGGUUGCCCUGUUGCCUUCUCUCCUUCCUGGAGGCAGGAAAAUAGGUGAAGUUAUCUAAAAUAUUUGUGAGCAAUGUGUGAGGACUAAGC